GCUGUCAUGUCAUUGACAUCAAUGUAAGAAAGUACUCUCCAUUCUACCAGAAGUCUUCUUAUUUAUCUUUUUUUCUUGCAUAAAUUUACCAUUUGACUUUUCGUUUCAACCAUCAUUUGUAUUGAUGAACAGACAACUGUGUCAAUCAACAAAUAACUACUUGUUUUCAAAGUGCAAUGAUAUAUUGAUAUCACAGAUUGUGUUAAUUGUAAACGCUGAUAAGAGUGUAAUUCAACAAAAAAAU
rnacentral:lncRNA from 1 species